rnacentral:tRNA from 1 species
AGAGCUUGGAAAAGCAUUUUAGUUACAUUAAAAAGUUUAUUGGAGAUUCAAUAUGAUUUGAUCAAGG